rnacentral:rRNA from 1 species
AACGAACGCUGGCGGCAUGCCUAACACAUGCAAGUCGAACGAGACCUUCGGGUCUAGUGGCGCACGGGUGCGUAACGCGUGGGAACCUGCCCUUAGGUUCGGAAUAACUCCCCGAAAGGGGUGCUAAUACCGGAUAAUGUCUUCGGACCAAAGAUUUAUCGCCUUUGGAUGGGCCCGCGUUGGAUUAGCUAGUUGGUAGGGUAAAAGCCUACCAGGGCGACGAUCCAUAGCUGGUCUGAGAGGAUGAUCAGCCACACUGGGACUGAGACACGGCCCAAAAUCCUACGGGAGGCAGCAGUGGGGAAUAUUGGACAAUGGGCGAAAGCCUGAUCCAGCAAUGCCGGGUGAGUGAUGAAGGCCUUAGGGUUGUAAAGCUCUUUUACCCGGGAUGAUAAUGACAGUACCGGGAGAAUAAGCUCCGGCUAACUCCGUG